rnacentral:lncRNA from 1 species
UGGUGCAUCCAAAAAUUAAAGAAAAAUACUUUCGGGUCAUGAAGAUAUAAUAGACACAAGACAGGGUGUCUAGGAGAGAGUAAAGAGAAGAAGAAGAGGGUCUUCUUCUAGGAUUGUUAGUUUCAUCUCUUUCCUUCCUCCAUCUUGAGUUUUCUGAGAGUAUCUCAGAUCUAAAACUCCUCCUCUUACUUCUAAUCUUUGGAAGAGUCCAAAUCAA